UACGGGGGGGGCAAGCGUUGUUCGGAAUUACUGGGCGUAAAGGGCGCGUAGGCGGCCUGCUAAGUCGCACGUGAAAUCCCCGGGCUCAACCCGGGAACUGCGUCCGAUACUGGCAGGCUUGAAUCCGGGAGAGGGAUGCGGAAUUCCAGGUGUAGCGGUGAAAUGCGUAGAUAUCUGGAGGAACACCGAUGGCGAAGGCAGGUCUCUGGGCAUUAACUGACGCUGAGGAGCGAAAGCAUGGGGAGCGAACAGG
rnacentral:rRNA from 1 species